CAUGCGGUUUACUCGUGUAUGGGCUUGAGGGCAUACCGAUCCAUGUUCGCGAAAAAGUUUGAUUUUUUACGAUCGGUGUGCGCACAUGUGUGUCGUGUAUGGCGCUGUGUGCACACACAACCUCAUUUCUCUCGUGACGCUGAAAAGUGAAGAUCGCGGACGAACAAUGGCAACUGUUAAGGGAGGAGCCUGCUUUAAAGGCCUCAAAAAAUCGAUUUUUCUGAGGAUUUUUUGGGAGGGAAAGAUUUAAUUGAUUCAAGCGAAAUUUCUAGGCUUUAUAGUUAUAACAUCUUUCACAAAUUCUUUGGAUACGAAAUCUUCGAUAUUCUGCCUUUGGGAAGUAAUUGCCUAAAGCAUCUCGCAUGUGCAUUUUUCGGACGGUGGGCAGGAUGCAGGUCGCCAUUUCUAACAAAAACAAAAAAUUUAAACAGAUUCAUAUUUUUUAAUAAUUUAUCUUGUAGUUAAACUAAGAAAAUUUUCAAAAAAGUGUAAAAUUUUAUAAAUUUUUCAAAAAUUAAAAAAAGUAGUUUUUGACCAAAAAAAUUUUACUUUAUGUUGUUUAAAAAUAUGUUCAAACUUGACUUUUCUUAGAUAAUUUUAUUCCAAAGAUAAUAAACUAUGCCCCAAUUCUAUACGACGUUUAGUUUUUUCCUAUCCUGCCCGUCAAUUAAGAAUAAUCGUAAAAAUGAAAAACCGAGAAAUCGCGCUUCAAAGUUUUGGCUUUUUGCCCAAGCGCUCAUAUAUCUGCUAGACGCACGGUCACUAUUUCCUUUCUAGCUUCGAUAAUAUUUAGAAUUCCCAUCUAUAACUUUGUGGACAUAUUCUUACACAUUUUUCAAAGAGAUUUAAGCAAAAAAAACAAUCCAUUGUUUGAAGCUUCUAAAGCAGGCUACCCCAUUAAUAAAGAUUUCGUAUCAGAAUUUAUUGAUCUUAUAAAAAAUGAAUUAGCAAUUUGGCAAACGAAAAGUGAUAAAUAUAAAAAUAAAAUUGAGAAAAAUAAAAGUUGGAAUAACUUAUUAACGAAAUACAAAGAAACAGAUUGCUGGCCGUGAUCUCACACGAUAUUUGUUUAAGUUGCAGCUGUACGGUGGCUAUACAUACGUUUAAUCAAACCCAUGCCUUUGAAACUAUGCAUAAUGAAAGAUACUUUGAUAAAUCGUAUCCCAGCAGGAUAUGGUAGACAUUGAUUAGAGAGCAAGGUAAAUGAUGCAGCAUGAUUGUAUCGCUUACUCCGACCAGUGAAAAUUAACACGGCGAUGUCCUACGAAAAGUAACAGAUCACCCCUUUCGCUUACGAUAAGGACGAAGAAUUCUUCGAUGCCAAAGUUAACGGAGAAUUCUUCUAUGCCAAGGUCAGUAGUAGAAUAGAAAUAAUUGUAUAUUAAUUUUGCUUUAUUUAUAAAAAUACUUGUAUGAAAUCCGUUAUGAAAAUAAGUAUUUAUGUAUAAAAAGGAAUGGGUUUCUUUUGAUUUUGUGGCUGAGUCUCUUUUCUUUAUUUUCCAAGCAACGAGACUUAAAGAAAGGGCUUUGGCGAGACUGAUGCUUUUUUGAGUUUGGUGAACACAUCCGAUUUGGUGAAGCCUUCUACUUUUACACAUUCUACAAAAAAAGAUGAAACCGUACAUAUGUAAUUAUAAAUUUCCUUCAAUGAUAAAAACACGAAUAACUUACCAAAUAGUAACUCAUUAAAGUGCUUCACUUUCUUAAUUUUUAAUAUUAAUAUUAUUUCUUUAUUCAAAGUUUAAACACAAAAUUAAACAAAAUUUUUAAUUAAAAUAGCAGCUCACCUAAACACAACCAACUUUCUGCAAAUUUUCUUCAAAUGCUUGACGAUUUGACGAAAUAAUGAAAAUAUAUAUUUACUUAUAAAUUUUAUUUCAUCAACUUGUAUUUGUUGUUUACAUAUUGUAUCGUAGCGUUUUUCAUGUAUUUACUUGAUUGUAAGUAUGAACACAGUAGAAUUUAGCUGCAUAACUUAUUUUUAUGCAUUACUUAGUAUCGAAGAAUUCUACAUAGAAUUUGCACGACAUUUUAACAAUACUGUAUAUUUUUAUGAUGUUAACCUGAUAUACUUAAUAUAAUAUAAUUAUAAUAUAAUAUAAUAAUUAUAUUAUUAUUACAAAUGAGUGACAUAUUCGAGACGCAAGAUGAAGGUGGUAAGUUAAAAGGAAAAUACUCAUCGAAAUAAGUAUAAAUAUAUUAAAAAUUAUUAAUUUUUUGGUAGAGAUUCCAAUCGUUGAGAGGAUUGAGCGGCGCCAGUAUCCAGUCAUAUAAAUAUCAAGAACACAACAAAACACAGAUAUUCUUGAAGCGUAAAAAGGAUCAUUUCGGGCCAAAAGAAUAUACAAGAAAGGCUAGACAAAUUGGAGGAAAACGUAUUUUUAAUUUUGCAGAACCAAAAAACCCUUAGUGCAGGCCAAUCGUCACUGGUUCACAACCAAACCGCUAUAUUUGAAAAACUUAAUGAAAUAGAG